AGGGUGAUAUCGGGAGAGACUGCCGGCCACGCGCCGCAGCGCCGAAGGAGCAACCGCCCCGGAAACUCUCAGGCAAACGGACCGCUAUCACCAG
rnacentral:ncRNA from 1 species